rnacentral:RNase_P_RNA from 1 species
UUUAUAUUAUAUAGUAUAAUUAUUAGGAAAGUUAUAAUAAUUUUAUGGAAAUAAAUAGUAAUAAUUAUUAUCAAUAAUUUAUCCAUAGUAUAUAUAUAUAUAAUAUAGUAUAUAUAUAUUAUAUAUAUAAUAAAUAUAUAUAAUAUACUAUAUAUUAUUAUUAUAUUAGUGAAAUAUUUUUAACAAAACAUAAGCUUAUUAAUUAUAUAAUAUAUAAUAUAUUAACAA